rnacentral:rRNA from 1 species
UUUUAUUUGAGAGUUUGAUCCUGGCUCAGGAUGAACGCUGGCGGCGUGCCUAACACAUGCAAGUUGAGCGAUUUACUUCGGUAAAGAGCGGCGGACGGGUGAGUAACGCGUGGGUAACCUACCCUGUACACACGGAUAACAUACCGAAAGGUAUGCUAAUACGGGAUAACAUAUUUGAGAGGCAUCUCUUGAAUAUCAAAGGUGAGCCAGUACAGGAUGGACCCGCGUCUGAUUAGCUAGUUGGUAAGGUAACGGCUUACCAAGGC